UCUAUCUAUCUAUCUAUCUAUCUACCUACCUAUCUAAUGUAUCUAUAAUUCCAUGAUUGUCAGAUUCAAGCCUACCAGUAUGUUUUUUAAAGCCUUAUUUCCUAGAGGUUGGAUCGUCCAGCAUGGAAAAGACAUACUUGCUCUCAGUUACCUCAGACUGGAAGGGACAUGUGACAUUCAUUCAUAGACUAGCUUGGGUUCUGAGUCAUCGUGUUAAAGACAAGGACGGUGUCAGCAUAUUCUCCAGCCUUGAGGAAGGAUCUCUGUGAGGAGCUGAAUGUCUCUCGUGCCAAUGCUCAGGACGCUGGAGGAUGAGCUUCAGCUGCCACUGUUGACUGGCACUAAACUGCAUGAACUCAAGAACAAAGUCAACCCCACUGCCCUGAACUCUGCACAGACUCCAGCCGACUGACUACGACUGACUGAACUCUCUCUGCCCUCUUCUUAAAUUGUCUCUUUCCUGUGCUGUUUUCGAGAGAACUGGGUGUAUCCUACCCUGUCAAAUCUUUCUCUGAUUCAUCACUUUGUCUGUCCCUCAAUUAGACAUCAUUGUUUGGGAUUGAAGGUGAGUGCUAAGGGCCUAUCAGUAUUCCAGCCAGAGGGAUUAAAGGCAUGUGAUAAGUCUGUAUUCCAGCUGAAUCACACAAAUUUAGCUGUUCUUGGAUGUGAUCAGAAUAGCUGGAUUAAAAUUCCUCUACAGUGUUCAGUGGCUGAUUGAAGAAAGGAGGUUUUCACAUCUAGGAAACUUACAUUGGACAAUUUUUAAAGUUGCUUUUAGUGGUAUAAAUCUGUAUGUCUGAGGUAAUUUCUCUUUAGUUUUUCUCAAAGCCAGAAGAAUGGGUAAACUGAAUGACUUUACCAGGUUCUUCCCCAGCACAGGAUUGUAUACAAUGUAUACAAUGUAUAAGUCUAUCCACUGGUUGCAAAAGUCAUGAAGAGAUACAAGGACUUGUCUGAGUCACAUCUGGAGAUUGAAUUCAAUUAGAUGCCCCCCAACCUAGCUUGGUUGAGCUGUGGUUGACAAACAACAUUGGAUUAUUUUGUGUGUGAGAGUGUAAAAUGACGACUGUAGCCAAGCUAAUCAAUACAUUAUCCACAUCACAUAGUUAUGCAGAUUCAGACUAGGAGGUAAGGGAAAGGAUAAUCACAAGUACAAGGCCAUCUAGGAUGUAUUAAGAAAGAGUUUGGAAGCAGGCUCUGUCUGAGAGAAAAGGCAACCCUUGCCUUUAAGGAUGAUGGGAUUGAUCGGAUCCAUGCACUCACUGUAUAUCACAUGUAUAUGUAUCUAUGUGUAUACACAUGUGCAUAUAUAUGGAUCUAUGCACUGCACAUCACAUUUGUAUGUAUUUGUAUGUGCAUAUGUAUGGAUCCAUGCA